GACCACGUUUCCCAGCAAGGCGCGGGGGCGAGAAAUAUUACGAUGGAUUUUAUCCGAAGGAACUGGCCUUCUAUGUUCUUCAUGUGGAAGGAUAAAUUCCUGGAAAUUCUCAUCCAAAUGUCAUCCAGAAUAUUGGAUGAGAAAGAAUUCAACGAAAUGAGAAGCCUAUACUACAACUUCAACGACACAAUGGCGGAAGUUACCUGGGCGUUCCAGCAGUCAAGUCACAACGUCAUCUCAAACUCAGCAUGGAUGAACUCUCAAU